rnacentral:rRNA from 1 species
AUCGAGGUUAAAGGUACCCGUACCGCAAACCGACACAGGUGGGUGAGGAGAGUAUCCUAAGGCCAGCGAGAGAACUGUUGUUAAGGAACUCGGCAAAAUGACCCCGUAACUUAGGGAUAAGGGGUGCCACCAUCAGGUGGCCGCAGAGAAUAGGCCCAAGCGACUGUUUACCAAAAACAUAGGUUUCUGCUAAGUCGCAAGACGAUGUAUAGGAGCUGACGCCUGCCCGGUGCUGGAAGGUUAAGGGGAUCUGUUAGAGCAAUCGAAGCAGUGAACUUAAGCCCCAGUAAACGGCGGCCGUAACUAUAACGGUCCUAAGGUAGCGAAAUUCCUUGUCGGGUAAGUUCCGACCCGCACGAAAGGCGUAACGAUUUGGGCACUGUCUCAACAACAGACUCGGUGAAAUUGUAAUUCCGGUGAAGAUGCCGGAUACCUGCGACAGGACGGAAAGACCCCAUGGAGCUUUACUGUAGCUUGACAUUGGGUCUUGGUACUACAUGUACAGGAUAGGUGGGAGGCUUUGAAACCAGGACGC